rnacentral:sRNA from 1 species
UUUUAGCCCCGAUAGCAGUGAAAAUCCUUUUUAUUUUUUCUUUAAAAAUAAAAAGAUUGCAACGGAUAGCGGGAAGGAGC